rnacentral:lncRNA from 1 species
ACCCAUUUCAAGCUUACCUCAGAGCCCUUAGCCCUUACCUCACAUGCUAGGCAGCACACUUGCAGAGUUGCAAGGCAUGGUACAGGAGCUGGGCCAGGCCAGGCCGGGGCUGUAAGCACAGUGGGCCCUGUAGAAGGCACAGGGGAUGUGCAGUGACAAAUCAAAGAGAAGAUACUGCAGAAGGAAACUUGAGAGCUGAGAAACACUUCUUUUUGGAUUUGAAUAGUCCAUCGCUGAAAGAGGCCUAAACUUGAAGACUCUCAAGGAAUUGCAGAAGGUAGCCACUGCCUGGAACAUGGCAAGAUCAUAACACGUGCAGUUGCGAGGAAGAAAGACUUUCAGAGUACGUGGACAGAAGAGGAGUACAAGCAGGAUCCUGUGAAGAGGGGUGGCAGCAGGACUCCUGAAAUGUGUAAGCUUCAGCCUCACAGAAUCUGGACCCAAUGCAAUGCAUGGGCAUUGUGAUUUCGACAGCCGUUGCCAGAUUCCCCUCUACCGAGGACGUGCCAACUCAAAUUUCCACCAGUAAUUAAGAACGUGUUUGUUUCCUCAAAACAAUUUUGAGAAAGAGUAACGAUGAGGAGAGUCCUGUAUUUCCAGAUAUUAAACGUUAUUAUGAAAGCGCUGUAACUAAAACACGAAGUUCCAGUAAUAGAUGAACACAUCAGCGGCACUAGGCGGAAAGCCCAGAACGAGAUUCCAGAAUCUGUGUAAGGAAUAUAGCAUAUAUUCUUUGGAGAGGCGCCUCAAAUCAGUG